rnacentral:rRNA from 1 species
GACGAACGCUGGCGGUGUGCCUAAUACAUGCAAGUCGAGCGCAGGAAGUCGGCGGAACCCUUCGGGGGGAAGUCGACGGAAUGAGCGGCGGACGGGUGAGUAACUCGUAAAGAACCUGCCCUCAGGUCUGGGAUAACCACGAGAAAUCGGGGCUAAUACCGGAUGGGUCAUCGGACCGCAUGGUCCGAGGAUGAAAGGCGCUCCGGCGUCGCCUGGGGAUGGCUUUGCGGUGCAUUAGCUAGUUGGUGGGGUAAUGGCCCACCAAGGCGACGAUGCGUGGCCGACCUGAGAGGGUGAUCGGCCGCACUGGGACUGAGACACGGCCCAGACUCCUACGGGAGGCAGCAGUAGGGAAUCUUCCACAAUGGACGAAAGUCUGAUGGAGCAACGCCGCGUGAACGAUGAAGGCCUUCGGGUCGUAAAGUUCUGUUGUAAGGGAAGAACAAGUGCCGCAGGCAAUGGCGGCACCUUGACGGUACCUUGCGAGAAAGCCACGGCUAACUACGUGCCAGCAGCCGCCGUAAUAC